rnacentral:rRNA from 1 species
GAAUAUUGGACAAUGGGCGAAAGCCUGAUCCAGCAAUGCCGCGUGUGUGAAGAAGGCCUUCGGGUUGUAACGCACUUUGAUUCGGGAAGAAAAAGCCUGACCUAAUACGUCAAGCCUUGACGGUACCGAAAGAACAAGCACCGGCUAACUCUGUGCCAUCAGCCGCGGUAAUACAGAGGGUGCAAGCGUUAAUCGGAUUUACUGGGCGUAAAGCGUGCGUAGGCGGUUCAGUAUGUCGGUCGUGAAAUCCCCGGGCUUAACCUGGGAACUGCGGCCGAAACUGCUGGGCUUGAGUGUGGUAGAGGGUGGUUGAAUUCCGGGUGUAGCGGUGAAAUGCGUAGAGAUCCGGAGGAACAUCGAUGGCGAAGGCAGCCACCUGGGCCACAACUGACGCUGAGGUACGAAAGCGUGGGGAGCAAACAGG